GGAGGAAGGUGAUCUGGCUGCAACAUCUGUCACUCUAUUGAUCAUUAGGGUUGAUUCUGUUGAUCUGCCUGGCUAAGAAGGUGGCUCCUCCCUUUACCACUCUAUGAGCACCCCUGCUCAGUUAUGAGCACCCCUGCUCAGUUAUGAGCAUCCCUGCUCAGUUGAAGAGGAUGGUCUUCCUUCCUCGGUAGGUGAUAACCUCUUCCUCUCAGUGAGCAUGGAGUGAUGCUCAUGGCCUCACCUCAGGAGGGAACCCAAAAAAGUGACCCUGCCCAUUUGCAGGGUGUAGCCC
rnacentral:sRNA from 1 species